rnacentral:rRNA from 1 species
AUUGAACGCUAGCGGGAUGCCUUACACAUGCAAGUCGAACGGAGUGGCGAACGGGUGAGUAAUGUAUCGGAAUGUGCCCAGUAGUGGGGGAUAACGACGCGAAAGCGUAGCUAAUACCGCAUACUAUUAGAGCAGCCUAUUUCGGCUUAGCUAGUUGGUGGGGUAACGGCCCACCAAGGCGACGAUCCGUAGCUGGUUUGAGAGGACGACCACUCACACUGGGACUGAGAAACGGCCCAGAAUCCUACGGGAGGCAGCAGUGGGGAAUGUUGGACAAGGGGGGAAACACUGAUCCAGCAAUGCCGCGGGUGCGAUGAAGGUCGUCGGUUUGUAAAGCACUUUAGGCAGGAAAGCGGUACCUGCAGAAUAAGCACCGGCUAACUACGUGCCAGCCGCCGCGGUAAUAC